rnacentral:rRNA from 1 species
GGACGGGUGAGUAAUGCCUAGAUCUGCCUAGUGGUGGGGAUAACGUUCGGAAACGGACGCUAAUACCGCAUACGUCCUACGGGAGAAAGCGGGGGAUCUUCGGACCUCGCGCCAUUAGAUGAGCCUAGGUCGGAUUAGCUAGUUGGUGAGGUAAUGGCUCACCAAGGCGACGAUCCGUAACUGGUCUGAGAGGAUGAUCAGUCACACUGGAACUGAGACACGGUCCAGACUCCUACGGGAGGCAGCAGUGGGGAAUAUUGGACAAUGGGCGAAAGCCUGAUCCAGCCAUGCCGCGUGUGUGAAGAAAGUCUUCGGAUUGUAAAGCACUUUAAGUUGGGAGGAAGGGUAGUAACCUAAUACGUUGCUACUUUGACGUUACCGACAGAAUAAGCACCGGCUAACUUCGUG